UACGGAGGGUGCGAGCGUUGUCCGGAAUCACUGGGCGUAAAGGGCGCGUAGGCGGCUUGGUAAGUAGGGGGGUGAAAUCCUGCGGCUUAACCGCAGGGCUGCCUUCUAAACUGCCAGGCUUGAGCACAGUAGAGGCAGGUGGAAUUCCGGGUGUAGCGGUGGAAUGCGUAGAGAUCCGGAAGAACACCGGUGGCGAAGGCGGUGCUCUGGGCCAGUACUGACGCUGAGGAAGCGAAAGGCGUGGGGAGCAAACAGG
rnacentral:rRNA from 1 species